ensembl:snoRNA Gm23008 small nucleolar RNA U105B
ACCCGUGCACCUGAUGAGAAUUCUGCGGCUGAGGUUGUGUGAUUGCUCCGACUCAAAGUAAACGCCCUGAUGCAUGUACA